CAGUCGCCACGGUAAUACGGAGGGUGCAAGCGUUAAUCGGAAUUACUGGGCGUAAAGCGUGCGUAGGCGGCUAAUUGAGUCGGAUGUGAAAUCCCCGAGCUUAACUUGGGAAUUGCAUUCGAUACUGGUUAGCUAGAGUGUGGGAGAGGAUGGUAGAAUUCCAGGUGUAGCGGUGAAAUGCGUAGAGAUCUGGAGGAAUACCGAUGGCGAAGGCAGCCAUCUGGCCUAACACUGACGCUGAGGUACGAAAGCAUGGGGAGCAAACAGGAUUAGAUACCCGAGUAGUCCCUGUCUCUUAUAC
rnacentral:rRNA from 1 species